UACCAGCUCUCCGAGUUGUAGGGAUGAUUAUUGGGCUUAAAGCGUCCGUAGCUGGCUUAGCAAGUCUCCUGUUAAAUUCAGCGACCUAAUCGUUGAGCCGCGGGAGAUACUACUAGGCUAGGAGGCGGGAGAGGUCGACGGUACUUUCGGGGUAGGGGUGAAAUCCUAUAAUCCCGGGAGGACCACCAGUGGCGAAGGCUGUCGACUAGAACGCGCUCGACGGUGAGGGACGAAAGCUGGGGGAGCGAACCGGAUUAGAUACCCGGGUAGUCCCAGCUGUAAACUAUGCGGGCUAGGUGUUGGGGUGGCUACGGGCCACUUCAGUGCCGCAGGAAAGCCAUUAAGCCCGCCGCCUGGGGAGUACGGCCGCAAGGCUGAAACUUAAAGGAAUUGGCGGGGGAGCACCGACAAGGGGUGAAGCUUGCGGUUU
rnacentral:rRNA from 1 species